rnacentral:rRNA from 1 species
CCUACGGGUGGCAGCAGUGGGGAAUAUUGGACAAUGGGCGAAAGCCUGAUCCAGCCAUGCCGCGUGUGUGAAGAAGGCCUUCGGGUUGUAAAGCACUUUCAGUGGGGAAGAAAGCCUUGGGGCUAAUACCCUCGAGGAAGGACAUCACCCACAGAAGAAGCACCGGCUAACUCCGUGCCAGCAGCCGCGGUAAUACGGAGGGUGCGAGCGUUAAUCGGAAUUACUGGGCGUAAAGCGCGCGUAGGCGGUCUGAUAAGCCGGUUGUGAAAGCCCCGGGCUCAACCUGGGAACGGCAUCCGGAACUGUCAGGCUAGAGUGCAGGAGAGGAAGGUAGAAUUCCCGGUGUAGCGGUGAAAUGCGUAGAGAUCGGGAGGAAUACCAGUGGCGAAGGCGGCCUUCUGGACUGACAGUGACGCUGAGGUGCGAAAGCGUGGGUAGCAAACAGGAUUAGAUACCCUAGUAGUC